UACAGAGGGUGCGAGCGUUGUCCGGAAUCACUGGGCGUAAAGGGCGCGUAGGCGGCUCGGUAAGCGUGCGGUGAAAGCCCGGGGCUCAACCCCGGGUCGGCCGUGCGAACUGCGGAGCUGGAGCACUGUAGAGGCAGGUGGAAUUCCGGGUGUAGCGGUGGAAUGCGUAGAGAUCAGGAGGAACACCAGAGGCGAAGGCGGCGACCUGGACAAGUACUGACACUCAACUACGAAAGCGUGGGGAGCAAACAGG
rnacentral:rRNA from 1 species